rnacentral:lncRNA from 1 species
GGAGCUGCCACUCUUUGUGUAGACCGUGGAAAGAAUCUGGGUACCCCAGAAAGCGAAUUAUUCUGUAUAAAAUCAACAAAAAUUUGAUAAAAAAAUUCACAUUCAAGUCGAAAAAACAAUUGAUUUCCAUACAUUUCACAAAGUGGGUAUUUUUUUAACAUGAGAUUUAAGAUAUGGGUUGUGCUUAUUUUUCCAACCUGAUCCGGAAAAUUCAUGACUGGAAAAUGAAAAUAAGCCAGGAAAUACUUAAAUUACCAGAAAAGUGCUUCCAUUUACGGCGAACAUGGUGACAGAAUUGUAAGAAAAUCAAGAGUAUUAUUUGGAGGAAGAAAGAAAAGAAAGGUCCUCCUCUUCUCUCUCUUAUUAGUGAUUUGAGUUAGAGCAUUUAUAUCAGAAACGGUAUGAUCCUCCGUAUUUUCUAUUCUUUUCCAAAUCUUGGUUUAUACUUCAUGGGAUUGUCCAUCAAGGGCGUGUUUGGUCGUAAACUUGUGUUUCACUUUUCUUGAGUGAGUGAAUUUGCAUGGUCCAUGCAUAGUACAAGAG